rnacentral:lncRNA from 1 species
UGUGUCCAUUGCCACUCUGCGUCUCGCCUUCUCCUUCUCCACCGAAGCCACGGCAGCUUCCUCUGCCAUUUGAGCUUCGUACAGCCUCUUCUGCUCGUCCACUUUCCAUCGCUGGAGCUCCAUCGCCUGCAGCAGAUCGUGGCCAGGUGAAGAAAGUUCAUCUCUUGCCGAUGAGUAUCGAGUUGGAGACGUAUGGAUGUAAUCUGACCUUUUGUUUGGCUGAGAGUGCUUCUUUGCAGGCGUUGUUGUACAUGUCCAUGGUGUGCUUGAGCUCCAGCCUCAGCUUCUUCAUCUCAUCUUCUACGUCCUCCUGCAAGCCAAUCGAAAGAGUCGGUCAGCAGAUGGAGUCUCAUCGCGAGAUCUUGUUGACGAUGUGGUUAC